GUGACUUGCAAGCUGCAGUCGGAGUUACCCAGAGGCGUGCGCCGUAGACGCAACACAGGAGGAAAAAAUGCAACUGCAAGGUGUUAAUGAACCUGCCCUUGCCCGGGGAAUGUGCGUGAGUGCCUGCUGUUGAUCUGCAGGCAGGAACCGGCAGAGAGGCCACGUGGACGUGUGCUGACAGCUCUCACAGUUCGAGUUAAUAAAUGUGAUGUUCAACCCCAUUCCCUGAGUCCCAUGCCUGCUCCAUUCCGUACCGAAGCCCGCCGUCAUUACAUGGAUGAAUUCUACUCUCUGAAAGAUGAAGCUGGCCGGUGGUCGCCCAGGCUAAUGAUGACAUGGACGUCCGCCUGGACUGGGAGGCUGAAGCCCAAACAUUCCUUCGGAUAAAAAACUCAUGGAUUCAGAUCUGGAGACAUAGUUGGCCAGCCUGCCUGAAAGGACUUCAAAUGUGUGUGAGAGGAGUCAAAACAUCACAAAAUAGAACCUGUGAAA